CCCGGCGACCGGCGCACGGGUGAGUAACACGUAUGCAACCUGGCCGUGACAGAUGGAUAACCGGGAGAAAUCCCGCCUAAUACAGCAUGACGCCGGGAAGGGACAUCCCUUUCCGGCCAAAGGGGGCGACUCCGGUCACGGAUGGGCAUGCGGCGCAUUAGGUAGUUGGUGGGGCAACGGCCCACCAAGCCGACGAUGCGUAGGGGUUCUGAGAGGAAGGUCCCCCACAUUGGAACCGAGACACGGCCCAAACUCCUACGGGAGGCAGCAG
rnacentral:rRNA from 1 species